rnacentral:misc_RNA from 1 species
GACAUUGAUGAGAGCCAGCUCCCUGAUGUAUAUGGAGGCAGACUAGCAUUAGUUCCUAUCCAAGACAGCUAACUUGAUGACUUGCACCAAUUGGAUGUUUCAGCAGCAUUCUGCUGUACAAUUGGUUGGCUUCAGGAACCAAACCUGAUGACAAUGAUAGUUCAUACCCGCAUAUUUUUCUUCUCCCGUUGGCUUUUCCAAGGGUUUGUAGUCCUUCAAUAUGAGCCAUAUAAUCUGGGAUCAUAAAUGUAAUUUUAACUCUUUUGGAUA